UGUGUGGCAAAAUCAGCUUGUUGGUUUGGUUCCUUUGGUCGUGGCACGUUUGCCACCUGUUCUGUUGUUGUAUCUGUUGCAGUCACUGCUUAUUUCUAUUUUUUGUAUUUUUGUAUUUCUCUGCCGCCGUGUUGGCUUCUUUCUCCCGUUAUUGUUGCUUGUUUAGCCUUGCCUUGCCUUUAUAUCGUUAGCUAAUUUUAUUAUUACAAUAACAGUUGUUGCUGCUCCUGCUGGCAUAAAUGGCAUUGCUGCUUUUGCUGCUGCUGCAUGCUGCAUGCUGCAAGUUGCUGCUGCAAGUUGAUGUCGGCUAUCUCUCGCACAUCUUAUGACCGGCCUUGCUACCACUCGUAUCAAUUCUAUUAAGCCUGGCACUAGUUCUCCGCCACCCCGCCACACCGCUCACUCUCCGCUCCUCUGCAUGUGACUAAUCAUGCAGAGCCAAUCAUGCCACAAGUUUAUUUAUUUUCACGUUGCAACUGCCGGGCUUUGGGGUAAAAAGCAGCAAUAACAAAGGCGACAGCAACAGCAGCGAACAGUAAACAAAAACUGGGUAAUCCACUUAAAAAUUCCUCGAUUUUCGCUUCCUUUCCAGCCGCACAUAUAGAUUUCUCAUUUUCCAUUUUUUUUGUGUGCCUGUUAUCGCCUGACUAUCAAGGCUGCUGCUUGUUCUCGUUAUUGUUCCCUGUUAUGUUGGCUUGUUCGCUUUUGGCUUUCUUCGGAUCGCUGGCUGUUCGAAUUUUUAUAGAGUGAGUUAUCUCCUGGGCUGUCUUGUCCGCUGUCCGUCCGUCGCAAUGAUGUGGACAUCCCCCACACGUGGAAAAAUGCACUUCAAUUGCAUAACUAUUCUAUUUGUUUAUCGGUUUAGAAUUGAAGACAAACCUAGGAAACUAAACUAUAAACUAAUUUUAAGUAAGCCGUUCAGUAUAUAUUUUUUAGAUUCGAUUAGAGCUUUGAAAUAAUAGAUAUAACAAUUUUAAUGUUGUAUAGAGCUACUUAAAGCAGGAUUGGAUACCACCUAAAGAACUUGUGAAAUAAAUAUCCACUGAAUAUUUUCGUGAAGAUUCUUGAUCUAGAGAGAUACUUUAUUUUGAAAGUUAUCCAUUUUUUUCUCAAUUUUUUGGUAGGUGGUAUAUUGGUGAAAGUAGUGUAACUUUGGUGCAUGCUUCAAGUGCACAUCCAUUGGCAAAUGCCAGACUCAGCUGCACUUGUUGUUCUCGUUCAGUCGGCGAGUGUAUCUGCGAGUGUGCAUCUGCACAUCCGAACAUCUGGGCAUCUAAGCAUCUGAGUAUCUGUGUGUGACGUUUACCGCUAUCGCAGCUGUCACUCGACUGGCCGUCCGUUAUGUGUCCUUGAAAGAAAUCUAACUGGCUAACUGUUUCAGCCUCCACCUGCCUACUAGCCCCUAACGACCAUUGGUCAUUGGCCAUUGCGGAAAUUAUAAUCCACUCAGGUGAACUGCGCUGCCUUACAGCUUCUUUCCGCCGCCGCCGAAAUCAGAACAAUGGAAGAUAUGGGCUCGAGUGGCAGGAGUUCAGGAUCCCGUCAUCCAUCAUCCCUCUUUGGUGACGUGACCCGGGAGAGUGUCAUGUAACAGAGAUUUGCGGAUGUUACAUUUAUAUUGCUCACAUCCAGACAGCUCCGAAGUGGCUUUGUGUGAGCUCUGAUUGGAUUGGGGGCGGAUAAACAAAUCUGCGAGGGAUUGCAGCUAUCCAGGUGUCACACUCAAGUGCCAAACUGGAUUCAAGGUAAGCGAAAUAAAAUUUGAUUUGUGUGAAAGGAGUUCGAAGUUGUGACACCUGCGAAAAUAGUCGUCACUUAGAUGAUUUAUGUUGAGAUAUUCCAGCACAAGGGUCCGAUAAGGUUUACAUGGGACUUGGAUUUUCUGAAAUUGGUAUACUUAAGUAUUUAAGUAGUGACCACAAGGAUGGUCACUACUAACUUAGAAAUUGUAUAAUUCGGCAGCGUUUGUAUAAAGACCAUCCUCAAUAGCUGCACCUUGAGUAAACUCCUUCUAUGGGCCUAUCUUAUAACUACCAUCUAGAGUGGAAUCGGCCCACACACUUCCCAAAUAAAUCUUGGUCACACAUCAGCGAAGCCUGUCAACUUGUUGCAUAUAAGAUUAGAAAUCCUAUCUGGGAAGGCAUCCUCCUCAUCGAGAUGGGUAUUUUUCGUUUUAUGGGGGAAAAUCGAAAUCGAAGAGAUGUCGAAGUCAAUGUCGCUGUCGAUGGCACUUGCUCUUUGAAAAUAUUGCAAGUAGAGAAGGCAGAACACAGAACAGACCAAGCGUAAUUGAUAAAGACCGACAAAUCCGUUGAUGGCUAUGUUAAUACAUAGGCGAAUGACCGAUCUUUGGGAUCUGAUCACUGGGAAAGGGGUGGUGAUCUGGGAGCGGGAGGAGACGGAUCAAUGUCGCUUCAAAACAAUCUUAUUGAUGGCAGGAAGACAAAGACCAACGAUUGCCUGCUAAUUCCAGCUUCAGGACCGAUUUAGCGACGCGUGCAGAACCAGUUGUACUUAGUUGCAUGCACUGGGCGAAAAGUAGUUCCCGAAACAUAUUGAUAAGGAUAAACAUUCCAUUAAUAACCAUUAUGAAAUGUGGUUUCGUUUUGUUAUUUGUAUUUACAUCAUUUCUUCUUAGAAAUAUAUGUAUUUUAAAAUAUGAAAAUAUAAAACAAAUGGCUUCUUACGCCUUUUUCUAGGAAUUACGUUCGAACGUUUUAAAUGGAAAUUUUGAACAUGGUUUUGAUUACACUUAAGAUCGUAUAGGUGUUGCUGCUGCUCUUGUUGCUGCGCUCAUCGAAAAGCCUUCGAUUUUCGUAAUGAUUAGCGCCAUUACAGGAACUGCUGCUGCGUCGUUGUGAUUGCGGUUAGCAGCUGAUGGCUGUUAGACGAGCAACUACCACACAAAAGGUAGCUAACAAUGCAACUGCAACUGCAACUGUGGCAUCGACAUCAGCAGCAGCAGCAUUAGCAGCAGCAUCAGCCGCAUCAACAUCAGCAAACUGGCUGCAAUUAGAGGAUGGGCGUGGGGCGCGGCUGGUGCGCAUAAAUUGCGUUAGGAUAAUGAUCGCGCUUUGGCACAGUAAAUCGCAUUUCGAAAUGUACAGUUCGAAUGUUCUCUCGAUUUUCCGAUCCUAUAUUUUCCACACCAACACUGAACUGGUUCGGCAACAAAUUUGACGCUCGCUGGUACAAAUGAGCGGACUCAUAGAAAGGGGGCAAAAGAAAGCAGCAAACAGCAAGCAGAAGACAGAAAGCUGAAGGAAAACCAGUAGAUGGUGUGGAUGUGGAAGGCCAAGAAGCAGCGGCCAGCGUUUUGGCCACGCAUGCUGGGGCGCCAUUUAAAUUGAGAUUUAUUGCCGGCCACUUUGGCUGCAGGUGCACCAUCAGCUUGCCACAGCAACUUGCAGCAAAGAUAAAACUGUAAAAUCGCUGGCCACGCUCGGCUUUUGUCCUCGCUAAAAUAUAACCGUCAACAAAUCGCUGAGCAAUGAA